rnacentral:rRNA from 1 species
CAGUAGCCACGGUAAUACGGAGGGAGCUAGCGUUGUUCGGAAUUACUGGGCGUAAAGCGCGCGUAGGCGGUUACUCAAGUCAGAGGUGAAAGCCCGGGGCUCAACCCCGGAACUGCCUUUGAAACUAGGUGACUAGAACCUUGGAGAGGUCAGUGGAAUUCCGAGUGUAGAGGUGAAAUUCGUAGAUAUUCGGAAGAACACCAGUGGCGAAGGCGACUGACUGGACAAGUAUUGACGCUGAGGUGCGAAAGCGUGGGGAGCAAACAGGAUUAGAUACCCCCGUAGUCCCUGUCUCUUAUAC